GUGACUGCGUACCUUUUGUAUAAUGGGUCAGCGACUUAUAUUCUGUAGCAAGGUUAACCGUAUAGGGGAGCCGGAGGGAAACCGAGUCUUAACCGGGCGUUAAGUUGCAGGGUAUAGACCCGAAACCCGGUGAUCUAGCCAUGGGCAGGUUGAAGGUUGGGUAACACUAACUGGAGGACCGAACCGACUAAUGUUGAAAAAUUAGCGGAUGACCUGUGGCUGGGGGUGAAAGGCCAAUCAAACCGGGAGAUAGCUGGUUCUCCCCGAAAGCUAUUUAGGUAGCGCCUCGUGAAUUCAUCUCCGGGGGUAGAGCACUGUUUCGGCUAGGGGGCCAUCCCGGCUUACCAACCCGAUGCAAACUGCGAAUACCGGAGAAUGUUAUCACGGGAGACACACGGCGGGUGCUAACGUCCGUCGUGAAGAGGGAAACAACCCAGACCGCCAGCUAAGGUCCCAAAGUCAUGGUUAAGUGGGAAACGAUGUGGGAAGGCCCAGACAGCCAGGAUGUUGGCUUAGAAGCAGCCAUCAUUUAAAGAAAGCGUAAUAGCUCACUGGUCGAGUCGGCCUGCGCGGAAGAUGUAACGGGGCUAAACCAUGCACCGAAGCUGCGGCAGCGAACGUAUCACUUAAAGCGAUUCAGCGGGUUACGAUUGACGGAGCGAAGCGACGUCAAAGCGUAUACAAAGUCGAGUCGGUUUAAGGAUACGUUCGUUGGGUAGGGGAGCGUUCUGUAAGCCUGUGAAGGUGGCCUGUGAGGGUUGCUGGAGGUAUCAGAAGUGCGAAUGCUGACAUAAGUAACGAUAAAGCGGGUGAAAAGCCCGCUCGCCGGAAGACCAAGGGUUCCUGUCCAACGUUAAUCGGGGCAGGGUGAGUCGACCCCUAAGGCGAGGCCGAAAGGCGUAGUCGAUGGGAAACGGGUUAAUAUUCCCGUACUUGGUGUUACUGCGAAGGGGGGACGGAGAAGGCUAUGUUGGCCGGGCGACGGUUGUCCCGGUUUAAGCGUGUAGGUGUGUGUUCCAGGUAAAUCCGGUUCACUUUAACACUGAGGCGUGAUGACGAGGCACUACGGUGCUGAAGCAACAAAUGCCCUGCUUCCAGGAAAAGCCUCUAAGCAUCAGGUAACAUCAAAUCGUACCCCAAACCGACACAGGUGGUCAGGUAGAGAAUACCAAGGCGCUUGAGAGAACUCGGGUGAAGGAACUAGGCAAAAUGGUGCCGUAACUUCGGGAGAAGGCACGCUGACACGUAGGUGAAGUGAUUUACUCACGGAGCUGAAGUCAGUCGAAGAUACCAGCUGGCUGCAACUGUUUAUUAAAAACACAGCACUGUGCAAACACGAAAGUGGACGUAUACGGUGUGACGCCUGCCCGGUGCCGGAAGGUUAAUUGAUGGGG
rnacentral:rRNA from 1 species